UGUUAAAAAUUCCAUCUAUUUCUAUUGUUAAAAACUAGCAUAACUGACAAAAUAAUCAAACAAUUACACGUGGUGUGUUAUGUGUACCUUAUUUUGAUAUAUUCUGACAUAUAGAGACCAAUUUUUAAUAGUAGAAAUGGAUAAAAUUUUUAAUA
rfam:Gossypium hirsutum cultivar TM-1 unplaced genomic scaffold scaffold280.1, whole genome shotgun sequence